AUGGCGGCCUCGGCAGCGCUGUUCUUGCGCUUGCGGAGCGGGCUCCGACUCGGCUCGCAGGGACUGUGCAGGAGGUUGGCAACGCCGCCCCUCCGGGCCCCAGAUCAGGCCUCAGAGAUCGGGAGCCGCGGGGGCACUAAGGCACAAGGGCCAUAGCAGCAGCCAGACUCAGAGGGUCCCAGCUAUGCCAAAAAAGUUGCGCUCUGGCUUGCUGGGCUGCUUGGAGCUGGUGGGACCGUGAGCGUCGUCUGUGUCUUUGGAAACAACCCAGUGGAUGAAAAUGGUGCCAGGAUUCCUAAUGAGUUCGACAAUGAUCCAAUUCUGGUACAGUAGUUGCGCCGGACAUACAAAUAUUUCAAAGAUUAUAGACAUGAUCAUCGAGCCCACCAGCCCUUGCCUUCUCCCAGACCCUCUGCGGAAGCCGUACUACCAGCCACCCUACACGUUCGUUUUGGAGCUCACCGGCGUCCUCUUGCAUCUUGAGUGGUCGCUGGCCACUGGCUGGAGGUUUAAGAAGCGCCCAGGCAUCGAGACCUUGUUCCAGCAGCUCACCCCUUUAUAUGAAAUUGUCAUCUUUACGUCAGAGACUGGCAUGACUACGUUUCCACUCAUUGAUAGCGUGGACCCCCACGGCUUCAUCUACUAUCACCUAUUCCGGAACGCGAAGAUACAUGAAUGGACACCAUGUAAGGACAUUUCAUGUCUGAAUCGGGACCCAGGUCGAGUAGUAGUUGUGGCCUGCAAGAAGGAAGCCUUCCGCCUGCAGCCCUAUAACGGCGUCGCCCUGCAGCCCUGGGACGGCAACUCUGAUGACCGGGUCUUAUUGGACCUGUCUGCCUUCCUCAAGACCAUUGCACUGAACGGUGUGGAGGACGUGCGAACCAUACUGGAGCACUACGCCCUGGAGGAUGAUCCGCUGGCAGCUUUCAAACAGCGGCAAAACCGGCUAGAGCAGGAGGAGCAGCAGCUUCUGGCCGAGCUCUCCAAGUCCAACAAGCAGAACCUCUUCCUCGGUUCCCUCACCAGCCGCUUGUGGUCUCGCUCCAGACAGCCCUGAACUCUGGGCCUCCUCAAACUCAGUGCCGGGGUCCAGAGCCCCAGUGCUUCCAGAUCAAAACUUGGGCCACCACUGUCCAAUAAAGUACAUCCCAGACACCA